GGACUCACGGGAAGAUAUCACAACACAACUCUAGACACAAAUUAAAAUAAUACAAGCUUUAUAUUACAAGCCAAGGGCCUCGAGGGCUCGAAUACAUAAGCUCGAAAACUCAAGAGUCAGCGGAAGCAACAAUAUCUGAGUACAGACAUGAGUUAAACAAGAUUGCCUUAAGAAGGCUAGCACAAAAGCAACAACGAUCGAAAAAGGCGAGGCCUCCUGCCUGGGAGCCUCCUAACUACUCCUAGUCGUCGGCGGUCUUCAUGUAGUAGUAGGCAUCCUCCGGGUAGUAGUAGUCAUCGGUGGCGUCGUCUGGCUCCUGGGCUCCGUCAUCUGGUCGCAACCAUCGGGUAUGGGGGAUAAAAGAAGUAGCAAAGCAAUCGUGAGUACUCAUCCAAAGUACUCGCAAGACUUACAUCAGAUCUAAACUAAGUAUGCAUCUGUAUCAAGGGAAAGGGGUUGUAUCUGUGGACUAAACUGCAGAAUGCCAGAAGGGAAGGGGAAAGCCUAGCAUAUCGAAGACUAGCAUCUUCUGGAACCCACCAUCUUGCAGCAACAGGAGGGAGUAGAGUAGCAUAAGGUAAAGUAGCGGUAGUGUUAUCAACCUCGGCCACAGAUCCUUUCUCGACUCCCUGCGAGAAAGCAAUCCCAGAGCCAUACUAUCCAUUCAUCAUAAUCAUGUCUCAUCUCAAGUAUUCAGUUCUAGUUGUAUCGAUCGGGAUACAACUCCAAGUGUCCGUUACCAUAGGACAGGCUAUCGAUAGAUGUUUUCUUCCCUGCAGGGGUGCACCAACUUACCCACCACGCUCGAUUAACUCCGGCCGGACACACUUUUCUGGGUCAUGCCCGGCCUCAGCCAAACAAUACGCCGCAACCCGACCUAGACUUAAUAGAGAGGCCAGCACGCCGGACUAAACCUAUGCCCCCAGGAGUCAUGGGCCAUCUCCCUGGGAACUCCUGCACGUUGCGUGGGCGGCCGGUGAGCAGACCUAGCUACCUCCUUCAAAAAGGUAGGUGCUUACCAGUCCAACCCGGCGCGCGUUGCUCAGUCGCUGACGUCUAUUAAGCUUCGACUGAUGUAUACGACGCAGAACGCCCAUACAAUGCCCACGUGAUGGUUAGUGCUAUUAGGCCAGAGGCCCCUCGGAUCAAAUAUCCAAAUCGUAGUGGAUUAGGAACGCGCGGUAACGAGCAGAUACUCACGAUCGAUGUGACCCCGUCGCCCCGUCUCGAGUACUUGCGGCAAGGGCUAAGAAUGCCCGGCCACGCCUCGUAAGUAUCUCGCGGGCACCUUCCAGGUCAACCCGACUCCACAUCACUCGCUAUUAAGCUCGCGCGGGUACCCCUCAGGGUCGACCCGUCUUUAGUAACAUGGCUCAGUGUAAAGUCAUAGUAACCAUACUAACUGUGUGUCUAACACCAAGGGGAAAACCCGAGGAAUCACCCCCGGUGAAUCCCACUCGAUGUUAUCAUCAAGGUGAACGUAAGAGGAUCCAUCCUCGAGGUUCACACUUGAGGGGUUGCACGCCAGAGCGGUAACGGAACUGGUUAAGGAGGAAAUCACCCUCGAUGACCUCGACGGUUUAGCUACACUACAAAGAUCUCAUCAGGAGCGAUGUAAGAGGUUCCACCCUCGGCACUCGAUGGUAACUCUGUAGAGUCGUACAACUAGGGGGUGAUGUGCGGUGUCGGGGCCUGGACGUCGAUCACGUUGAUCGAGUCAUUGAACAUAAGGCGAGGCAACUGGGACAAGGUGGGGUCACUGAUGGAUCACUAACCAACCUAUACUAAGCAGUUUAGGAUAAGCAGUUAAAGUAACAAUAAGCAGGUAACAAAAACAGACUAUGCAUUAGAGUAGGAUCAUACAUAAAGCAGUAGCAGUUCUAAUGCAAGCAACAGAGGGAAAGAGAUGGGCGAUAUCGGAAUGCUCAAGGGGGGUUUGCUUGCCUGGUUGCUCUGGCAAGGAGGGGUCGUCGUCGACAGCAUAGUCGAUCGGGGCACCAGCAGCGACAUCAGUCUCGUAGUCUAUCGGAGAGAAGAGGGGGAAGAAACAAUGAAUAUAAUGCAAACAGAUACAUAGCGAUGCAUGACAUAACAAGUAGCGGUGCUAGGUGUGCCCUAACGCGGUAUGAGGUGAUACCGGUGAAGGGGGGAAACAUCCGGAAAAAUAUACCCGAUGUUUCGCGUUUUCGGGCAGAUGAAUCAGAGGGGGAAAGUUGCGUGUUCGCUAUGCUAAGGACAUGCGGCGGAUGAACAGACAGUGUAUUCGGAUUCGUCUCGUCGUUCUGAGUAACUUUCAUGUAUAAAACUUUUUCAUCAGAGUUACCAAUUAUUUUCUAUUAAUUUUCAAAAUUUAUACAGUUUUCUAAAAUUACAUCAUUUGUUUACUCCGAAUUGACCAAGUCAAUUUGCUGGUCAAAAGCGAAGGUGUGGCCCACAUGGCAUAGACUAUAUGUAAACAAAAUAAUUAAAAACUAACUUUAACUAAAUAGGGUCCACCUGCCAUAGGCUAGCAACUAACCUAACAAAGAUUACCUUAGUAGUCUAAAUUAGCCUAAACUAAUUAACCCGGCCACACACACACCUACGCACACACGGCCAUAGCCACCACUAGCAGCAACCAGCGAUUGCAAGCAGCCGUAGCAGGAGCCAAGCAACACUAGCGGUAGUAGCAACUACAGGCAAAAGAAGCAGCGCAGUACCAGGCAGAGGAAGCAGCAGGAAAGAGCAGUAGCGACAGCAGAACAACAGCAGGCACGGCAAGGCAGCAUCAGCAGAAGGCGAGCGGGGGCGCGGUGCGCGUGCACGCUGGCUGGCGUAGCGGGGCAGCAGCAGCGCCGCAAGCAGCAGCAGGUAGAGCAGUGUGCGGCCGCGACAGCGCAGGGCAGCAACAGCUGCGGUAGCAGGGGAGGAGGAGCGCAGGCGCAUGCGAGGCCCAAGGGCGCGGGCGUGGGUGGCUCGCGAGGGCGCGACCAGGAGCACGUGGGCGCGCACGUGGAUGAGAGGUUUCGGCCAUGGCGCUCGAGCUCGUGGGGAUGACGAUACAGCAAUGAAUCAAUGGAGUAAAGGCCGGGAAUCGGAGGAGGUGCUCACCACAGAGGCACACGAAGGCCCGUUGGUGUCUUAGGAGCUGCAGAGGCGACGGAUCGACGAAGAACAACGGCGAUGACCGAGGAAGAAGAUGGUGUCGAUCCGGCCGAUGCGGUGGCUCCGGGCUUGAGCUCGUGGGCGAGGAAGACGAAGCACACGACGGCAGAUCCGCGGGACCUCCCAGCUCGGCGUGGGGGCAACCGUGGCCGUGAGGUCGACGACAACAGCGGUGACGGAGGCGUUCGGGAGUGGGACAGAACUAGAGAGGGGAAUGCCUGGGAGAGGGGGAGUGGAUGAGAACGGGAGUGAGGCCAGGGAGGAACCGAGGCGCCAGGGGGCGGCCUUAUCCUCCCGUCG
rnacentral:lncRNA from 1 species